GAUAAGUAAUGUGAAUUGCAGAUUUCAGUGAAUCAUCGAAUCUUUGAACGCACCUUGCGCUCCUUGGUAUUCCGAGGAGCAUGCCUGUUUGAGUGUCAUC
rnacentral:rRNA from 1 species